rnacentral:rRNA from 1 species
AAUGAACGCUGGCGGCGUGCUUAACACAUGCAAGUCGAACGUGAAAGUCCGCAAGGACAAGUAAAGUGGCAAACGGGUGAGUAACACGUGGGUAAUCUGCCCUCCGAUGGGGGAUAACAGUUCGAAAGGGCUGCUAAUACCGCAUGACAAACCGCUAUCAAUUUAGUCGGUUUUAAAGCAGCAAUGCGUCGGAGGAGGAGCCCGCGGCCCAUUAGCUAGUUGGUAGGGUAACGGCCUACCAAGGCGACGAUGGGUAGCCGGCCUGAGAGGGUGUACGGCCACACUGGAACUGAGACACGGUCCAGACUCCUACGGGUGGCUG